UGUUCUUCCUUAUGCGCAUUUAAAUUCUUCCCACUUUCACGCCAACGUUCUUGUGACAAUUAUUUCCAAAAUUCGUUUUUGUUUUCCACAUGCUUUCAAAUUUAGCUUUGGAAAUCAAGGUGAUCAGACUGAAAGGGAAGUUGAAAGAAUCUUGCCAAACAGAUGACUGGACGAGCCAACGGCGGCAGCAAAACCUCCAGCUCACACGUUUGAAGAGCCCAGAGUUUUCUUAACUGUUUCUCUUUACGAAGUUGUAGUGUUUUGUCCUCCCCUUGAACUUCUUCUAAUACCAUGGAGGACGACCAGUGCAGACACAGCCAGUGCAACAGCCACGGGGCCUGCGUGCCUCUUCAAGAUGGCGAUCCUAAUCUGGCUUGUACGUGUGAUCUGGGCUACCAGGGGGAAUUCUGCGAAACAACAAUCAAUGGGCAUUUGAGUGUACCACUGACCGUAAGCGUAAUCGUGGUCAUCGUCGGCCUGGUGAUCCUCGCUUUUGUCUUCGCUAAGCUGAGGCAGAGGCAAAAGAGGAAUAAGAGAAAACAACUGGCAGCUCAACAAGGCUACAACGUAUCGGCUCAAUUUGGAUAAAUAUGGAAUAUGUCUAAGGUAAACAAUGUCUUGGAUAAUUUCCACCCCAUCGUGUUUCUGGUUGUUUGAGUGUGAUCCUUCCAAACGGAAAGCAUUUUUUACUCACUGCAACUGACUUUGUGCUUCAACCUCUUAAGCCACAAACACUGAAUUUACAGAAGCACCUUAACUCAAAAUCCUGUUUGCUUUGUUCAGCUGACACUCUAUACAAAAAAUGUUUUCUGCAGGACAAAUAUGAAGUUAUGUUGGAUUUUGUUUCUACAAUCAUGGCACUGUCAUUGUCUUGUCUUUAUAGUCAAGUUAAACUCACUCUGACAGUUUUCAUGCAAAGUCUUCCAGCACAAUCAUGCAAAUGUUCAACCACUUUGUAUGAUCAAGCAAGAACUUUGGGUGGAUUCAUUGAUCUCAUGAGAACCAGCUUGUUGUAUUUAACUGGUGCAAGCAAAAAUUUUUCAAGGUUCUAACAUUUUGAUAUCUCUACAAACAAUGUAUAAUUUAUCCAUAAUUGCAUAGUUUUAUAUUGGAAAUCAUUAAUGUACUGUGUAGUUCACCACUUUAGUUCUUUUGGUCUGUUUUUUUGUUUUUGUUUUUUUGUUUUGGUAUGUUUUCUGGUCUGUUUUUUAAGCUACACAUGGAAAGUUUUAUUACUUUUUAUGCCCUGCAUCAAAAUACACCAUACCUUACUGACUUUUGUAUACUUAGAAAAAUAUGAGUUCAUCUAAUCAUUGUCUAAUGCAGUAUCAUAAUUUUUUAAAUCCAUUUUAUUUCCUUGAUUAUGCACACAAGUGAUCGUUUUGUGUCCCAUAAUAAUUACAACAACUACCAAUGCAAAGCCAGACUGUAUAGAUUUUUUUACUUUGUUUUUGUCAUUUGUCUUUUUGUUUUGUUCUGUGCAGCAUUUGUUUGGCAUAUGUAUUCAACCAACAUUUCUAUUCUUAAGUGGUAGUCAUUACCUGUCACAUAGUUGAGCAAUAUUUGUUUACAGUCUUUCUUGUAAAUAACUAUUUGAUGUCUUAAUUCAUGGAUCAGAUCAUGGCUCUGACAUGUAAUUGCAUAUAAAAUUAGCUUCAAUUGAACACCUUUUAAAUGUAUAAAAUGUCUGAAGAAGGCAGCGAGUCAGUUUGUAACCAGCUCCAUUCACAUUAGCCACUGAUUUGACUGUCUGGUUAGAACCUUUAUUUCUCCAAACUAAGGUUCUUCAGAUGGUUGUCUGCUAUCGGUAAGAUGAUGACUGCACCCAAUGUCCCCACAGAACUCUUGCAUCAAAGAUCUAGGUAGACUCUUCAAAAAAUCUGUCACUUGUGUCCUAAACAAGUUUCCUGUUGCUAUCAAAUCCUCUAUAUAAGGAUCUCGUCAAAGCUUAGUGUGUUAAUCCUGUCCUUGCACACUCUCACUCAUCUGCUUUGAUAAACUGCCAACCUGCCUCGACAUGUUGUACAGCAGCCACAGAACCUACCAAACUCCUCCAGCAGGUGGCGCCAAUCUGCUUUAGGAAUGAUGUGGGUUACACAGGGGGAAUAUCUGCAAGUUAAUUUCCCACUGACCAUCAUCAUCUUCACUUUUGCUCUCACCAAGAGGCUGCAGAGGCCAAACCACAGCUUCACAUCCAAUUCUCGCAAUGAAUGUGAGUAGAAUGAAAUUAUUAAAUUUCUUUUUACAAUUAAAUAUGAUGUUAAAGGAUUAAACCUUUUUAUUUAAUUCAAGUCUAUGAUCUGUACUUUAUAACUUUUGUAACAGUAAAUUAUUUUUAUGCAUACAAAGCAAACUUAAGGAGUUUUGUCAAUUUCUGUCUAAUAAAUUAGGUAUGAACUAUUUCAUAUGGCUUAGAAUUAACUUGUGAAGUAACAGCACUGGUCCUUAAUUUCCUCAAGGGCCAGUGCCUGAACUUUUCAUUGUCCAUUAUUCAUAUUUCACUGAUAUAUAUUGAAUUUUAUUCUGCCUCAUUGUGUUUUAUAGGAAAUAGAUUUGACAUUUUUUAAUCUCUCCCUAAAGGUGAGCUGGGAUUUUGCGAUAAAAGCACUUAAUCAUAGCCUUCAUAUUCCUCAAAAAUUACUUCUCUAUUUUUGUGAUUUAAUCUUGUUUCCCAUCUAGUUUGUUCAAAAUUAUCAGUAAGAUUAAAAAAUUAACUAAGAAGUUUGUUCUUUAAUCUACGGAACUGUUUGUAGGCACCAAUUCUCAAAAAUUUGCAUAUGUUGAAGCUCUACAUAAGCUUGUGAUUGGAAAUAUUAAGUCAUAUGUAUAUGGCUAUACAUGUGUUUUUGUAUAUAUGUGUAACCUACUAUAUAGGUUCAGUGGGUGAAUAUUUUUUUUCACAAAAAAAUGAAUGUCCAUCAGGUUUUCACCUUGCUCAACAAAAGUGAAGACAUGUUGCAUAUGUCUGCUUCACUGCUCUCUAGGGAUCAGCCAAAUCUUCACUGGAAGACAGACCAGUAGACUGACAGAAUAACAAGUCCACAGUCUCUGCUGAAAAUAAACAUUUGUUUUUCAAUAUUAUAAGUGUUCUUUUCUGAUUUUU